rnacentral:lncRNA from 1 species
CCUGCCACCUGCCGCCUGCCGCCCGCCUCCUGCCACCUGUCACCUGCCGCCCGACGCCCGCCUCCUGCCACCUGCCGCCCGCUGCCCGCCUCCUGCCACCUGCCACCUGCCGCCCUCCACCUGCCUCCUGUUACCUGCCCCCCGCUGCCUGCCCCCUGCCGCCCCGUUACCCACCGGUGAGUGCCAGCUUCCAGCGCGUCGCCCUCGGCGGCUCUCCCGGCUUUGCUCCUCCGACCAAGGGCCGGGCUGCUGGGCUCUCGGGGACAGGCACCGGGGUUGCCCUUCCUGGGAAAGUGCAGGCCCGGCCGGCUGCGUCCUGGCGGCGCCUCCCCCAUUGUGACCUGCCGCUCCCCAUUGUGACUGUCCCUUCCAAUGCUCCGCAGACUCCGAUGACAAGGAUGGGCCAGCUGUCACUCGUCUCCAUCACCACUUCGAGAAAAAAGAAGGGUCGUACCCAGGGAUGUAGCCCACCUUCAACGUGAAGGCCCGACUCAGAGCUCCCUGUGCCGGUGGCCUGGGCCCCCCUUGGAGACAAGCCCUACUCGGUGCAGGUGCACCAGCUCGGGUGAGAAGCAGACACACAGUAGGGGUCAACGUGACACACACUCCUUAGACAUCUGCAUCACCCCCAAAGGGGUCAGACUGUCAAAUAGUUCUCCUCCGUAGUAAAGUAUGGAGCCAAGUGUAUGGAAAAGGAAGAUGCUACUGACAUUCCUUCCCAGGCCAGGGCGCCUCACCCCCCUCCUGGCCUGUCCUCUGCCCUCUACACAGGAAGGAGAUUUGGAGCAAAACCGGAACAAAGGCCUGUCACGAUGAAGAAAAGCCCCAAGCUAAGCAGAACCCCGGCCACCUACAUCUUUCAUUUCCAUCCCCCUGCCUUGAAAGAGGGAAAUAUAAGAAAACAGGUAUGGGGGGUGGGGUUUGAGGAUUUUCCUAAUAUUAAGGAGAGGAGGUUCCCUCUGGGCUGAUAUUAUUGCAGGGAUUAAUUACAGAGGUUUGAGGUCAGGGAACUAGUCACCAGUCCCUGGGACAAAUAGCAUCACUAUUGAAAUGACAAGGCUAACACACGACACAGACUCUGUUUCCCUUCAUCUUGCUCAUUCCUUCGGGAUCCUGAGGAUCAGACUGAAGAGUAUGAGCUGGGGAGGUGCCCUGGGUUUGGGCAUCUCGACCCCAAAGCACAGAGGGGACAGGCCACGCCAGCGACGGAGGGCAGCUGGGGCCACUCUGCAGAGCUUCUCGUCACUUCCUCAGUUUGCAGAGCCGGACAACCCUGCUGUAGGUCAGAAUGCGUGAGUUUCCAAAAUGAAGUUCUGUUUACAUGCUCCAUUAAUUUUAAAUAGUGGCCAAGUGUGCUUCGUGGAGGAUUCCGCUAUCUGGCCUGCGCGUCCGGACACUCGCUAUCUCCCCAAAUGCGUGUGGGUUCUUAGGUCCCUCGGGGUAGACAUCCCCUCUGCACAGAGGAGGCAGUGACUGCUAUUAAGUUUGAAUAUUUAGAUUUCUCACUUCAGUAAAUUUCAUCAGGGAAAGCUUAUUUUCAGGGGAUUAGAAAAGGUUGUUAGGCAUUGUCGGAGGACAGCCAUAGGAAACCAACAGUUUGGAUGAUGGUUUUUCAUUGCCUUUGAUGGUAUGAAGGGUUUAGCCAGCCAGACUGUAUGUUCACACUAUGAUCUGGGGCCCCUGCUCACCUCCAUGGCAGCGGACAACUGGCCAAGCCCCAAACAGAGAUUUGUCUCCCAAGCACAUAGCACUGCCUUAAAUGAGGAAUAAUAAAGGGAAUGGAGGGCUUGGGGAAAACA